rnacentral:tRNA from 1 species
GUUGUCAUGGCCGAGUGGUUAAGGCGGUGGACUAGAAAUAUUUUGGGAUUUUCCCGCGCAGGUUCGAAUCCUGCCGACAUCG